GACCCUGGCUCAGGAUGAACGCUAGCUACAGGCUUAACACAUGCAAGUCGAGGGGCAGCAUGAACUUAGCUUGCUAAGUUUGAUGGCGACCGGCGCACGGGUGAGUAACACGUAUCCAACCUUCCGUUUACUCAGGGAUAGCCUUUCGAAAAAAAGAUUAAUACCUGAUAGUAUGGUGAGAUUGCAUGAUAGCACCAUUAAAGAUUUAUUGGUAAACGAUGGGGAUGCGUUCCAUUAGGUAGUAGGG
rnacentral:rRNA from 1 species